GUUCGGAUAGCUCAGCGGUAGAGCAGAAGACUGAAAAUCUUUGUGUCACUGGUUCAAAUCCAGUUCCGGACA
rnacentral:tRNA from 3 species